rnacentral:lncRNA from 1 species
AAGCACCGCGUUAAUAGAUGUCUUGUAAUAUGUGAAAAGUUGCAAAAUGAAACCAUAGAUAGGAUGGUCAGACAGGCGAAGGCCAACACCUCCUCAGGAGAUUGCUUUGUGUCGAAACUGGAACACCAUAUAGGCCGAGUACAGCUUCCCACAAUGCAACUAGAUUAUUUAUUUUACCUGUACAUAAGUCGGCAAGGACAGACAGAACAGCCCGAGGACAGUAACAUCUGGCACGUCUGUUUUCUCUCUCACCUGUGUUUACGGGGAUCUUAAAUUUUACCCCUACAGCUCGCGCGAAAGGUCGAGUAGCAGGCGAGCAGCACUCCUAUGCAUUCAACAUCGAUUACACCAUCAAGGUCGUUUAUAAAC